ensembl:lncRNA
GAAGCAUAGUCUUUUGUCUCCUCAUUUUGUUUAACUUUCUGUCUCUUUCUAUGAAGUUAGGUGAAACAGUAGCCUGUCCUGGAUUGAAGGUGUGUCCUUGUCAACUUUGCCUGUGUCCUGUGCCUUUGGAGGUGCAUCAAAGGAAACUGUCCAAUGCGGCACUUGGGAAUGACGGACAUCUAGUCAACAUGUUUGUUGCUGUUUGAAGAGUCGCGGAUUGUUGAUACAAUGACUCCUCUGCUGUUUCAUAAAGGUCAUGUGUCACAUACAUCUUGUCUGCAGAGGCUCAUCCACCUAAAGGUGAGCACUUGAGGAAGAACAAGAUGUUUAUCUGCAUGCAUUUGUUGGGAAUUGGGAAUGGAAC